UGGGGAAUAUUGCGCAAUGGGGGCAACCCUGACGCAGCCAUGCCGCGUGAAUGAAGAAGGCCUUCGGGUUGUAAAGUUCUUUCGGUAGCGAGGAAGGCAUUUAGUUUAAUAGACUAGGUGAUUGACGUUAACUACAGAGGAAGCACCGGCUAACUCCGUGCCAGCAGCCGCGGUAAUACGGAGGGUGCGAGCGUUAAUCGGAAUAACUGGGCGUAAAGGGCACGCAGGCGGUGACCUAAGUGAGGUGUGAAAGCCCCGGGCUUAACCUGGGAAUUGCAUUUCAUACUGGGUCGCUAGAGUACUUUAGGGAGGGGUAGAAUUCCACGUGUAGCGGUGAAAUGCGUAGAGAUGUGGAGGAAUACCGAAGGCGAAGGCAGCCCCUUGGGAAUGUACUGACGCUCACGUGCGAAAGCGUGGGGAGCAAACAGG
rnacentral:rRNA from 1 species